UUUAAGUGCAGCUAUAGAUUUCUGUGUCUAACGUUUCAUUGUUCGUUUUAUUUGAAAUUCUUUUAUGAUUAAUAUUUUAUUGUUAUUAGAUGAUAAAACAUGAAUAGUACUUUAUACACGCGACUUAAUUUUUAUUUUUUUUAUAAACUUUUUAAAUAAGACGGACGAUCAAAUGUUGGACAUAUAAACACACAAUUUCAUUUAAA
rnacentral:pre_miRNA from 1 species